UACGUAGGGGUCGAGCGUUGUCCGGAGUUACUGGGCGUAAAGCGCGUGCAGGUGGCUCAUUACGCCCGGCGUGAAAGCCCCCGGCUCAACCGGGGAGGGUCGUCGGGGACGGAUGGGCUUGAGGGUCGCAGGGGCUGGUGGAAUUCCCGGUGUAGUGGUGAAAUGCGCAGAUAUCAGGAGGAACACCGGUGGCGAAGGCGGGUCUCUGGGCCGAAAUUGACGCUGAGGAGCGAAAGCGUGGGGAGCAAACAGG
rnacentral:rRNA from 1 species